AUUAAAAAAUCUCAGCUGAAUUAUAAUAAACUCACAGUUGAAGUUGGCAGGUUCUCAGCUGCGAUCUGUGCAAACUGAGAGGGAACAAAGAGACAGCGAUCUGAAACAGUGUGAAGUGUGUGGGAGGAAGUGAGUGUUCCCGUCGGCCAUAGAGAACGAGCAGAGUCAGAGACGAUGCUGGCGCCAUAAAGAGGAAGGCGUCGGAUAAGGAGGAAGGGUUGGUCCUCAGAAGGUGAAUAAUGAUUAAAUGUGAUUCACAAGAAGAUGAUGUGGAUUAAAAGAAGGAGGCCUGUUGGAGGUGUCAGGACUGCAGGUGGAGAGGUUGGUGUUUCUACGGGGCUAAAGGUGUGCCAGGCUCAGGUGGAGAGCAGCAGAGAUGGCGUCCUCA